CAGAUUUUGCUUUUUCUUGGUGGCCAGAGCGGUAUGGAGAUAGCUGUUCUGCUGCUGCUGUUGAUCGUGCCUUUCACCUCUGCCUCACCGCUCAGACUGACUCAAAGGUUGGACGCAGACACCUUGACCUCCGAAGAUGCUGUGCAGGCAUCACAGUUGGAAAGUUCAGAGGUCACACAGGUGCAACAUGUUCCAGCGCUGAAGAUCAUCCCAUUUCAAUCAGAAGAAGGAAAUCAUCCAGUCAUGGACGC